GACGUAGGGCGCGAGCGUUGUCCGGAUUUAUUGGGCGUAAAGAGCUCGUAGGCGGCUUGUCGCGUCGACUGUGAAAUCCCGCGGCUCAACUGCGGGUCUGCAGUCGAUACGGGCAGGCUAGAGUUCGGUAGGGGAGACUGGAAUUCCUGGUGUAGCGGUGAAAUGCGCAGAUAUCAGGAGGAACACCAGCGGCGAAGGCGGCGCUCUGGGCCGGAACUGACGCUGAGGUGCGAAAGCGUGGGGAGCAAACAGG
rnacentral:rRNA from 1 species